rnacentral:lncRNA from 1 species
CUGCGGCAUGGACGGCGGCCCCAUCCAGUGGCAGCUCUACAGCCUCGUCGCCUUUGACCGCGGAGACUGUGCGGUCCAUGUUGUCCCUCACGCGCACGAUGGCAGACACGACACCCACUUCCCUUGACUUGGCUACUUUGUGGACUUCCAGGUGUCUGUGCGCGCUUGUCUUACUAACGUCACAGCCCCUGUCGUCGCUCCCUUCCCCACCGGCGUCCCUGUGGCCCUUUGCUCCCCGUGAGUGAACAUCUCCCUCACGUCCCCGAGUCUUGAAUCUUUGGAUUCUGUGAGCGAUCUGCAGUUGGUGAAACUUCCGAGUAAGAGCCUAACUGAUCCUCAUCUGCUCGUCGUGUCGCCCGACUUCCCUGACGCUGAGCUUAAAGCAGGACAAGAGAGCCACGGUCACACAGUCCAGAAUAGAAGCAAACCUGAAGGAAAUACUGAGACCAAACACAUCACUUGGUUUAGCUGCAAAUAGUUUCUAUAAUGAAUCAGCGUCAAACCAUGCCGAACCAGUGAAUCGUUCCCCGAACGCAUCCAUAAAUGUUGGC